UCAAGCUAAUAAGAGCACAGGGUGGAUGCCCAGGCACCAAACGCCGAUGAAAGACGUGGCAAGCUGCGAAAAGUCACGGGGAACCGCAAGCAGGUAUUGAUCCGUGAACGUCUGAAUGGGGAAACCCGGCGGGUUAACAGCCCGUCACUAUUAACUGAAUCAAUAGGUUAAUAGAGGGAACGCGGGGAACUGAAACAUCUCAGUACCCGUAGGAAGAGAAAAUAAAGAAUGAUUUCCUAAGUAGCGGCGAGCGAACGGGAAAGAGGCCAAACCGAAGGGCUUGCUCUUCGGGGUUGUGGAUCAGCAAAAAGGACGGAAGACCUUAGCAGAAGAGGAUUGGAAAGUCCCGCCAGAGAGGGUAAAAGCCCCUUACGCGAAAAGGUCAAACGACGAGCUGACACCAGAGUACCGCAGGACACGAGAAAUCCGGUGGGAAGCCGGGAGGACCACCUCCCAAGCCUAAAUACGAAUUGGUGACCGAUAGCGCAUAGUACCGUGAGGGAAAGGUGAAAAGAACCCCGGGAGGGGAGUGAAAAAGAACCUGAAACCCUGUGUUUACAAGCAGUGAAAGUGCGAGCAAGGCACGAUCACGUACUUUUUGUAGAACGGACCGGCGAGUUACGUUAUGCAGCAAGGUUAAGAACUGAAGGUUCGGAGCCGAAGCGAAAGCGAGUCUGAAUAGGGCGAUAGUUGCAUGACGUAGACCCGAAACCGGGUGACCUAUCCAUGAGCAGGUUGAAGUGGAGGUAAAGCUCCAUGGAGGACCGAACCAGACGUCUGUUGAAAAAGGCGGGGAUGACUUGUGGAUAGGGGAGAAAUUCCAAUCGAACCCGGAGAUAGCUGGUUCUCCUCGAAAUAGCUUUAGGGCUAGCCUCAUGGAUCAUUGGUGGGGGUAGAGCACUGAAUGUGCGCGGGGGCCACAAAGCCUACCAAACGCUAUCAAACUACGAAUACCAUACAAUGCAGACCAUGGGAGUCAGUCCGCGAGAGAUAAGUUCCGCGGGCAAAAGGGGAACACCCCAGAUCAACCGCUAAGGUCCCCAAGUUCACGUUAAGUGGAGAAGGAUGUGGAAUUGCACAGACAACCAGGAUGUUGGCUCAGAAGCAGCCACACAUUUAAAGAGUGCGUAAUAGCUCACUGGUCGAGUGAUUGUGCGCCGAAGAUGUCCGGGGCUAAACGUGACACCGAAGCGAUGGGUGCAUCUGAAGAAGAUGCGCGGUAGAGGAGCAAUGUGCAGAGGCAGAAGCCGUAUCGAGAGGCACGGUGGACACUGCACAAGAGAGAAUGCCGGUAUGAGUAGCGAGAGGCAUGCGAGAAACAUGCCCGUCGAAAGCCCAAGGUUUCCUGGGGAAGGUUCAUCCGCCCAGGGUAAGUCGGGGCCUAAGCCGAGGACGGAAGUCGUAGGCGAUGGACAGCAGGUGUAGAUUCCUGCACUACCGAUGGAAUGAAGCAGUGACACAGAAGGAUAACUCGAGCAGGGUGAUGGUCAACCCUGUGCAAGCAUCAAGGUUGGGUUGUAGUGAAGUACGCAAUCCUAUAAGCUGAGGUGUGAUGCGGACCGAAAUUUCAGUAGGGAAGCGAGUGAGUUCACGCUGGCGAGAAAAGCUGCUAGUACAUCCAAAGGUACCCGUACCGGAAACCGACGCAGGUGGGCGAGGAGAGAAUCCUGAGACGAACGGGAGAACCCUUGUUAAGGAACUCGGCAAAAUGACCCCGUAACUUCGGGAUAAGGGGUGCCUGCGAGAGCAGGCCGCAGAGAAUAGUCACAAGCGACUGUUUAGCAAAAACACAGGUAUCUGCGAAAGCGAGAGCUGACGUAUAGGUGCUGACACCUGCCCGGUGCUGGAAGGUUAAGGGAACAUGUUAGAGCAAUCGAAGCAUCGAACCGAAGCCCCAGUAAACGGCGGCCGUAACUAUAACGGUCCUAAGGUAGCGAAAUUCCUUGUCGGGU
rnacentral:rRNA from 1 species